CCAAUAGCGUAUAUUAAAGUUGUUGCAGUUAAAAAGCUCGUAGUUGAAUUUCGGGAUCAAUAUGCUGGUCGCGCCUUUGGUACGUACUGGUAUUAUUGGUUUCUCCUUUCUGAUGAAUCACGAUGUCAUUAAUUUGGUGUCAUGGGGAAUCAGGACUGUUACUUUGAAAAAAUUAGAGUGUUUAAAGCAGGCUUACGCUUGAAUACAUUAGCAUGGAAUA
rnacentral:rRNA from 1 species